rnacentral:rRNA from 1 species
AUUGAACGCUGGCGGCAUGCUUUACACAUGCAAGUCGAACGGUAACAGGCCUUCGGGUGCUGACGAGUGGCGAACGGGUGAGUAAUGCAUCGGAACGUGCCCAGAGGUGGGGGAUAACGCAGCGAAAGCUGUGCUAAUACCGCAUGUGAUCUGAGGAUGAAAGCGGGGGACCCAGCAGCAAUGUUUGGCCUCGCGCCUCUGGAGCGGCCGAUGUCAGAUUAGGUAGUUGGUGGGGUAAAGGCCUACCAAGCCGACGAUCUGUAGCUGGUCUGAGAGGACGACCAGCCACACUGGGACUGAGACACGGCCCAGACUCCUACGGGAGGCAGCAGUGGGGAAUUUUGGACAAUGGGCGCAAGCCUGAUCCAGCAAUGCCGCGUGCGGGAAGAAGGCCUUCGGGUUGUAAACCGCUUUUGUACGGAACGAAAAGGCUCUGGCUAAUACCUGGGGCUGAUGACGGUACCGGAAGAAUAAGCACCGGCUAACUACGUG